GUCGUUUAUUAUCAUUUUGAAGUAUUAUGUAUUGCACAUAAUCAUGUGUGCUACCUUUUUAUAUGACUGGCAGCAUGGUAGGUUUGUUUACACCAGCAUCACAACAAACAUGUGAGUAAUACAUUGCGGUACAGUGUUACAAUGGCUUUGUCGCUAGGUGAUAAGAAUUUUUCAGCUCCAUUAUAAUCUUAUGGGACUAAUGUCAUAUAUGUAGUCCAUCGAUGAUCAAAAUGUCAUUAUGGGGCACAUGACUAUAAAUGUACCUCUUGAGGACUGGCCUUUCUGACAGCUUUUUUUUUUAGUUUUGAGGAUCAAACCCUUGGGGCCAUUGAUUCAUUGGAUCAUUCAGCAAAUGAUCAAAUGGGUAAUUUGCGGUACAAUCUAAGCAAAGGAAAACCUGAAGAUGUCCAUUUCUUCAAGGAAGCUCUAAUCUGGAACAGCAAUAAAUUCUCUACGCAAAAGAGAAACACUCAAGGCAGUAAGGUAACAGCUCUGAAAGUGCUAAAAAUAUGGAGGGGAGCGAGCGAUAACUUGUAUGGUCACCAUUGACCUUGCUGAUGCAGAAAUAAAUCAUCUUUACUCUUCAUUCUCUUGAAUUCUCACCUACCCUGCCACCUCAUCCAAAAUUUGUUAAUUCUAUGUGCAAAACAUCUUUCAAAUCCACCCCUCUCUCUUCAUCCUCACUGCCCCCAUCCUAGUCCACAUCAAUGCCAGUCUUCUGAUUUUCCUGUCCCUAGUCUGAUCUUCUCCCAAUGCACUCUGCAGAGUGACCUUUAUGAAAUGUAGAUCUGAUUAUGCCACGUUCCCACUUUAAAAGCCUCUAGAGGUGUGAACCUCUAGAGUCUUCUAGAAUCUGACUUCCAUUCUCUGUCCAGCUUUAUUUCUUGCUGGACUACUCUAUGCUCCAGCCAUAUUGGUCAAAAAUUGUUUUAGUUUCUGGAACCUAUGGUGAUCCUCUCACCGAGGCCUGCUAUUUUCUCUUACUGGAACUCUGUCCCCUCCCCUGGGCACCCUCCCGCCUCUGGCCUAGCGAAUUCCUUCCAUCUUCCGGUCUCAGUUCCUCCAAGAAACCUUCUCACCUAACCCGUCCGGUCAGGGUACUUUCCUUACCUAACACCCACUCCCUCGUUUACUUCUCUUUGGCUGGACUGAAGUUGGGCAGGGCAGGGGCUAGUCUGCCUUCUUCUGGGCCCAACCCUCCCGGCCGGCACCACAGGCAUUACAGGAGAGUGAAGGAGUCUGAUC
rnacentral:lncRNA from 1 species